rnacentral:rRNA from 1 species
UACGUAGGCAGCGAGCGUUGUUCGGAGUUACUGGGCGUAAAGCGUGCGUAGGCGGUGUCUUAAGUUUGUUGUGAAAUCUCCCGGCUUAACCGGGAGGGUGCGGCGAAUACUGAGAUGCUGGAGCGCCGGAGAGGUAAGCGGAAUUCCUGGUGUAGCGGUGAAAUGCGUAGAUAUCAGGAGGAACACCUGCGGUGUAGACGGCUUACUGGACGGUAACUGACGCUGAGGCACGAAAGCGUGGGUAGCAAACAGG